rnacentral:snoRNA from 1 species
UUUUUAUGAUGAAAAAAAAUUUUUUACACCAGUUCUGCUACUGAACACCCACACGGUGAUGAAAAUUCCACUCUGAAAG